rfam:Nematostella vectensis strain CH2 x CH6 NEMVEscaffold_231_Cont19844, whole genome shotgun sequence.
GCACGGUUACCUCAGACGGUAGAGCAUCAGACUUUUAAUCUGAGGGUCAUGGGUUCGAGCCCCAUAUCGGGCG